rnacentral:lncRNA from 1 species
UAGUGAUGAUAAAACCUGAACGAUAAACUACUAAGAAUCCAUCAUGAUGACUCUGACACCUACAAAAGAGGGCCCUAAUUAAUGUCUUGUGACUAUUCGGCGACACUCCGAACUCAAAUUAAUUAUAGCCUAUGAGAUAGCAAAUGUAACGCACGAAUUCAUUUAUUAACCCUUAAAGUUGUGGAUCUCUAGAUAAGAGUACUUUACUUAGGGUUAUGAUUCACGUGAUCCAUCCAAUCAAGUUUGAUGGCAGUCAUUCGUGCGCGAAAGCAAGCAAGUGAAAGGAAAGUGUUCCUCGUACACAAAUAUGUAGUAAUAUAGCUAAAAGUAAUUAAAAAAUAACAAAGAUAACCACUAUAUUGCAAAGAUAAAUAUAAAAAUUUUAUACAAUACUUUAUACUUAACCCUUUGAGGUAUACAUCACUAUACACGAGGGCUUUACAUAAGGACAAGGCAUCCCUUUUAGUAAAUCCUUCCAAUCAUGUCCUAUGAUCAAUCUAACCAUACAUGUUGUUCAAAAUCAAACAAGUCAACAAAACAAUGUUUCUCAUAUCUCAUACGUAAUCCUCAAGUAUAUAGUUAAAAGUAGUCAACUCUACAAUUAGACACAUAUGUAUUUUUGUAUAUUUACCUACUUACAUGUGAUUAUAACGGACUAAUUGAAGGAAUAGUUUUGUCCGAAACCUACAAAAGAGAACUGGGAAAUGUCUUGGCCGGUGGAUGGCCGAGGCCACUCCGAUGCCCAAGUUAGUGAUAUCCCUCAAUAAGAUAAAUAUACAGAAAAUUAAUGCAUUAUUCCAAUACCUUAGUAUUUGGAAGUGUUGAGAUUUAUAUUUGAGUUUUACUUGGGCCAUCCUAUUAGGGGGUUCAUCUAAUUAAGUCUGGUAGUCAAUCGUGUUAGUCCUCGUAAAACCAAACAAGUGCAAGAAAAUCAAAACACGUUAUGUAAAAAUAUAAAGCAAAAUCAAAGUAUGACAUAAGGUACUCGUAGUAAUUGGAGAUUUAGUAAAUCGUACCUACUUAAGUGAUGAUAAAACCUGAACGAAUAAACUACUAGAUCCAUACUGAAACUCCUGACAACUACAAAAGAGAACCUGGUUAAUACCCUGUGACUAGUCGGGGGCACUCCGAACUUAAGUUAAAUUAUAGCCUAUGAGAAUUAAUAUUCUCGAGAGUAGAGAGAGAAAAUGUAACGCACGAUUUCAAUACCUCAAACAUUAGAGGUGUGGAUCUCUAUAUAAGGCUUUUACUUAGGGCUAUGAUUAUGUGGUCCAUCCAAUCAAGUACGAUGGUCGUGCAUUCGUGCACUUAAGCAAGCAUUGAAUAAAGGGUGUCAUCGUACACAAAUCUUAAAGUAUGUAGUAAACAUAAUAAAAGCAGCCCUAUAUUGCAAGAUAAAUAUAAAAAAAAUUUAAUACAUACGUUAUACCUAACUUUUAAAGGUGUACAUCAUUAUACCGAGGUUUAUGUAGGGCCAAGACAUUUCCUUAGUAAAUUCUUUCGAUCAUGUCGCCAAUGGCUAAUCUAAAUCUACCUGUCCAAAAUCAGAAAGUCAACAAAGACAAUGGUUUCUCAUAACGCCAAUCCUAAGUAAUAGAUUUAAAAGUAGUCAACUACUACAAAAGGUUACAUAUGUAUUUUUGUAUAUUCCAUCAUUCAUCACCCACUUACAUUUGAAUGAUCGAGACAAAUGGAAGACUAUUUGUCCGAAACCUACAAAGAGACCCCGAGGAUGUCAUGCUGGUGGCCACCUAGGCCCCUUCGUGUCCAAUUUAGCGAUAGCCUCAGGAAGAUAAUAUACAAAAAUUUUAAAUGGGCAUUGCUCACUACCUUAGUUUUGGAAGUGUUGAGAUUUAUAUUUGAGAGUUUAAGAAGGGCCGAUGCAUCCUAUUAUGGGGCCCAUCAAAUAGGUCCCGGUAGGCCAAUCGUGGGUGGUCCUUCGCAAACCAAACAAGUGCAAGAAAAUUACAAUGCUUAUAUAAAAUCUAAAGUAAAUAAAAUAUGACAAAAGGUAACUUGUAGUAUUGUAGGUCGAUUAAUCGUACCUACUUACGUGAUGAUAGAACCUAAAUGAAUAAACUACUAGAUCCACCAUGAUGACUCCGACACCAACAAAACAGGACCCGGUUAAUGCCCGCAAAACCAAACAAAAACAUGAAAAUCAAAACACCUUAUAUAAAAAUAUAAAGAAAAAUUAAAUUAUGACAUAAGGCAUUCGUAGUAUUUGUAGGUCUAAUAAAUCAUGCCUACUUGAGAUUUAUAUCUGAGAGUUUCCGAGGCAUCCUAUUAAGGGUCCAUCUAAUCAAGUAUGGUGGUCAAUCUUGUUGGUCCUCUCGCAAACCGAACAAUUGCAAGAAAAUCAAAAUACUUUUAUAAAAAUAUGAAUCAAAUCAAGUAUGAACAUAAGGUAAUUUUUCGUAGUAUUUGUAAUCUAGUGAUCAUACCUUCUUAUGUGAUGAUAAAGAACCUGAACGAUAAACUACUAGAUCCACCAUGAUAACUCCGACACUAACAAAAGAGGACCCGUUAACGACCCGUGACUAGUCGAGGCACUCCGAACUCAAGUUAAUUACACAAUUUAACCUUAAUCAAUAAAAUGAACUUGUUCGUUCCACAAAUUAUCAUAGGAAGGGGGACUACAGUUAAAAAAUCAAAUAGAUUUACUUCUAAACGUUUACCUCUGGUUUCUUUGUAGGUCACCCUCUUUUUAAGUAGCAAGAGUUACUGAAUUGCCUUUAUACAAUUUUAAGAACGAUAUAUAUAUACCCCCUCUUCUCAUGAUCUCUCUUGAGAAUUACAACCAUAGCUUCAUCACAAUUGAUACCCUUCCUGCAACAUAUAGAAGGCUGCAAUUGCUCAGACGGUUAUAGGUUCUCUCCUUGGUGUAGAAUGUAAUGUCCACUGCAACGCUCACCCAUGACAGCAUCUACUCAAAUUCCAUGGAAAAAGAAAUAAAGAAAGAUUGUGACAAUCAGCCUCUAUAUUAACUAAAAACAAAUUAGGGGUAUAGGCUACCUGUUAGCUGGACAAUAAAUUUUUUUUUAUAAGAGUCGAGUCGAGGUUAAGCAACUGAAUUUCAAGACAGUAAUUAGUAGACCUUCUCAUUGUCCAAUGAUAAAAGGGAUCUCUUCAAUGGGUAGCAACACUCUAGGAGGUGCAAGGAGGGGCCUCAAACCAUCUCUGGGCCAUCGUGAUAAUUGGAUGAGAUGUAUUCCCACUUUUAAAAGUAUCCACUUACUCACAUGAUUUUUUAAAAGCUUAAACCCCUAUGACUCCACCGACCCUGCAGGUAAUACAAUGGUGACGUCUCUAGACAUCAUUUGGAGAAUAAGAUGUUCAUUUCCCAAUCAUGGGCCCCCGAGGGGUAUCUAGUUGGGAUAAGAUGAAAUCACAAGUAUUUCACGCUGGUAGUAAGUGAACAUAUCAUAAUGAAAAACUGGAUGUCCAAAUUACAAUCAAGAAUCAAUAUUUCACACGUAUUCAUCAGAAUGUGCAUCUAAUAUUCUAUACAACCAAACCUAGAGAAAAUAUAGAAGGAAAAAAUGGAAUAUGUAUUUUCAACUUCUCUGAAUGGUAUUCUUAUACUUAUGAGCUUAUUAGCUUAAUACUUACAACUGUAGUUUGGUGCAAAACCAAAUAAUAAUAAUUCCUUACAUUUUUGCACCAUGUCCCUCUAAACUUAUCAUGAAUUGAAGCAACUUUUUAUCCAGAUAUUGCAAGAAAACGUGCUGGAAUCAUCCGAACUGAUAAAAAUGGUGAUUCUUACCUUUUCCGAUCCUAGCGAAAACAAAAAUUGAAACUGUUUUAUAUGCAAAACUACUUACAUAAACCUUAUUCAAGUUUGUGCCUGUGGUUAAACAUACAUGACUAAUUCACAAACCAAACUGUAUCAAUUGGUUAUUAACCAGACUAUACAUAAUGAAUGUUUACACCAAGCCAUAACAAUACCUUCUCAGAAGCUCUUGGUGACAGCUUUAACUACAAGCCCUUCACAACUCCAGACUGCAACACAGCUUUUUUGUUUUUGUGGGCCUCUUAAACCCCUGGCGUACUGCAAGUGCUUAUUUCCUUAUUUCCAAAUGCCAGUAAGAAGCGAAAGCAAAAUCACUUAAUAUUACUAUAACGCACAACUAGCAUAGUAACUCUACAUUAGAUUCUCCACAUGAUGAUGACCCGAAAGUACAAGCAUCCAAUUAUUCUUUGGAAAAUCUCAAUGUUUUGUGAAAUCAGCUCCCACCUGGCGAAGUAAUCUUCAGAAAAGUAUAUUUGAAGACAACAAAAAAGAAAACUAAGGAAAUGGGAAAUAGGAACUGAUAAAAAUAAUAUGAUGGGUAAGUUGGUCUAAGCUAAAACUGUAAGUUAUUGAUACACUUCCACAUGGGCAACAUCAUUCCCCAAUUUUAUCACUGAAUCAUCAAAUGCAUCUAGUUGACCAAUUUUUCAAUUAAUACUAGGCGUAUGCCAGAUCUAAAGCAAGUAACAGAACCCACACUAUAGACAAGUUUGGGAUAGUGAUCACGGAUCGAUUGCACUAACAUUAGAAAAUAAUUUGUGUACUGAGGUAGUUAUGAAUAUAGGAUACCAUCAAUUAGUCUAACAGGUACUGAGAAAACACACCUGAAAAAAGUAAGGAGUUCAAAUACCUUCCUUCAAGCAAAUGCAAUAAGAAAAUACAGACAAUUGUAUAACCACGACUGUCAGUCUAAAAAUCAUCUCAAAGAAGCUAGACUCAUUAGCAUUGUUGGUUAUCAAUUGGAUUACAAUCAUAGCUAAAAACCAUCAGAGUAAUCAAGUAAAGGAUGGAGAUACUUGUUGGACCAAGAGAAGUUAGAAUCUCAUAUUUUGUUGAAUUACAUGUAUGCAAGAUUUGAUCUUCUAGUCAUGUGCUCCUCAAAACCAAUUGAACGGUACAUGAGCUCAAGUAAGUUGAGUGAAACAAUAAGUGGUGGACUUGACUUGAACUACAAUCAUAUAACACAGAAGGGGUGCAAAUGACUUGGUAAUCUUCCAAUAUACCAGUUCACACAAGUAUUAAAAGCAAAAAGUUACACAUUACAAGAUUUAUGGAGUAGCAUGAUAUUUCAAAUUAGGAGGUAUAGUGACCUUAGAUGUCAGUCUAACAAAAAUAAACAUAACAUCUAGACAAAGUAAGUCACUACAUACAAACAAAAAAUAAGAAAUUUGGAAUUUUCAAUUAGUAUAAGAAAACAAUCCAUUGGAACACCGUUAAAAGAUACCUGAUUUUUUCAUAAUCCAGUCCUCACUGAGGAUUUCAUAUCUGGCUAGAACUAUUGGCCCUGCAAAAGGUUGUAAGAUGAAGAAAAGGUAAAUAAAUAACACAAGAAUGAGAAUGACAUUUGUAGUAGAUGUGAAUUCACAUAACUUUGAUAAAUCAUAUGAAGAUAACAAGAGAUAGGAGAUACCUUCAAAUUAUGACCAGAACAACUUGGUGAGAUGAUUCUAUAACUUCAAUCCAAUGGAUAACACAAGUGUAUGUCAGUGCUCCGAGCAGGACUAGAGAACACAAAACAAUGUGUAAGAUUUUGAUUGUGGUUCAUAUUGAGUGUCUUAGUUGUACUUAGGUAUUAGUUGGGCCUUAAGUGUCUUCUAGCUCUCUAGUGUACGAGUGGCUAUAAUAAGAGGUUAAAAAACCUCUAUUGUAUAAAUUUCUAGACAUUGGCUCUGGUGUCCAGAUGGAUUUUCACUAUAAAAACUGUAUUUUAUAAUUUUGAUUGAAUCAUGGGGUAUAGAGCCUAGGACUUUGAUUAUUUUGUCUUCCAAUCGGUAAAUCCUCACCAAAAAAAGUCUCCGGGUCUCGCUAGAGACUGGCAAAAGCUACUGGAAUCUUGUCGAAAAAUUCAUUAGAGCUUGUUUUCCUCCAAAUUUCCUCCCAAAGUCUUCAAUUUCGUUCGAAUCUUACUCACAAGGGUGUGAAUUUUGAAUUCAAACAUCAAUUUCAGUCAAUCAACCCUAGAUUGGGUUGCUUUCUCCAGAUCUGGUCAAAUCGACCACUUCAAACCUUGUGGAGGCUAUUUCGAACCCCAAUCGACUUUAAUUUUGUGUUUCAAACCUUAUUUGACAUCGAUUCUAUUUUUUUCCCACCAAAAUGAAUCAUAAUUGACUGAAUCAAACUUGAUUUAGCCUCGAAAGUCACAAAAUAAUGAUUUUGUAGCCUAAAUUAGUCUAAUCGAGCCUAAUAUGUUCGAUGCGGAUUCGAAAUCCUCAUAGUUGUUACUCGAUUCGAUCGCGCACAUCUAUUUUAGCGCUUGAGUUAGAUGUGAUUCUGUGGUUCGAUUGUCGUUGGCAAUUGCUAUUUCUUGCCUAGAUCUGGUUAACUCACUGAGCUACUAUAGCGCUCACUAUAGUACUUUUGACCAGGUUAACUAAGCUGACGAGGUUGACUGGGUUUGACUGAGUUCAAAGAGUUGACUACUUGACUGAGUUGAUAGGGCAUGCGUUUUGCUUGUUGAAUGGGCUAAAAAGAGGAGGAAGAAGAGAAGGUAGAGAUAGAUGUUUUGUGUCAAAUGUUGGGGAAGGAUUUGAUGUUAUCCACCAAUUGGAAGGACAUGGCAAUCCAAGAAGAAAUCUGGAAUUUUUAGAAUUUUGAGAAGGCACAUUUCACCUUAACGGUAUGGUACAAACAUUUUACAUUUACCAACCACCUCCCUUAAAACGUAGUGAUAGGUCUAAGGACGCUCAGACUCGCCUUCACAAUCCUUUUGGUACUUUGAAAUUGCGAUAAAUAUUUUCGGAAAUAUUUGAAUCUAAAUGAAAAAAAACAAUAUGAAGGUGGAACUUCCUGAGGUUUCUUGAAGCCUUGAUUGAACACUGUAAAAUGAACGAGUGUUUGACUAUGGUAAUGCUACAGAAGAUAAAAAGGUAACGUUGGUGUCUAUUUGCCUUAAAGGGAGAGCAUCAUCCCCUUGGUGGGAGCAAAUGCAAAUUAGUAGGCAAAGAAGAGGAAAAAGAAAAAUUGGAGAUUGGGUGAAAAAGAAGAAGAAACUCAAGGACCAAUUCUUGCCUUUUACUAUAUCCAAACUUUCUAUAAGAAUUUGCAUAAUCUCAAGCAAGAUGGGAGUACAGACAAAUACAGCAGCCUUUUAUCAACUUGUUGGAAGAGUGGAUUUGAAUGAAAGCAAAGAGAGAAAUAGUGGCAAGGUCUAUUAGUGGAUUAAAGCCUACAAUUCAAGACGUAUAGACUUCAAUCUUGUGUUAGUUGGAAGCAUGUAAUAGGGCAAUCUUGGUGGGUUGGUUUCGGAAGCAUGUAAUAGGGCUUUUUUUUCCCUUGGUUGUUGAAAAGUAACAAAUGAGAGGUGCCAAGGGUUGUUCUCAAGUGCACCUAUUCCGAUAGUCCGGAGUACGAAUCCAUCCCAAAGUGGGGGGUUGAAUGUUUCAUUGUGUCCUCCCAUUUGUGGAAAGUUUUUUGGGUAAUCGAAAUAAGGGGAACUACUAUUGAGGAAGUGAGUAUAUGAACCAAGGACAUAGAGACGAUGUUCACGCCUUAGAGAAUCCCACAAAUGAGGAGAUUCAAGGUGAUAAUGAAGAGAAAGAAGGUCCAGACUCUAAUGAUCAAGAAGAUUGUUUUGCACUAAGAAUGAGGAUAUGAAGAAGCCCUGAGUUCAAGUACAAGUGUCUUUGCAUACUUGCACCAAAUAAAAUAACAAAUAAAGUAGUUUGGUGUCCCAGUCAAAUUGGAAUCGUUACAUAAAUUUUCAUUUUAGACACCAAAGAAAGGCAAGUUUAUUGGAUUCCCAAACAAGUAGGCAUUGAUAACGAUAAUUGCUCACUAGCUAGGUAAAAAUAUUACAGUUGGCCACCCAGUGCCAUUACAUUGAUGCAAGCCGUAAAGUACACAUUAAUACAUACACAUCACAGAAUGCGAACUCACCUUGGGUUUCUGAGUUCAUGAACCUCUCCGAAAGGCAAUUCACUUAGAAUCAUAAUUCUACAUGAGUUUUCCUAUUGAAAUAACAAUAGUAAGCACUCUUACUAACCAAGCCAGCAAAAAAAUAUCCUAGCAAAAACUAGGACAUUAACUAAUAUUUAUUAUCAUUAAUAGUGCAGUAGUAAUAAAUCAGAUAUGGACUAUGCCGAGAGAAGAAGAGGGGAGAAAACCUGUAAAACCAGUUGUGGUACUUCAAAAGGAGCGAUCUCAGUCCUUGGUCAAGUUACUUGCCAAAAUUUGUCAUUCAAAGCCUGGAGAGAACAAAGCCGUUUAUGUUGGUCAAGUCUCCGUUGAAUAUUUGGACUUUUGAGCUCUAGAGGGAACUCACAUAAACAUACACCUAUCAAAUUUAUCUAUAAAAUUCAUAAUUUCUAUGCAUAGUAUUUCAAUUUACCAAAGGCUAUAGAGCUCAAUUCAUUAAGAAAGCUUAUUCAAAUUCCCAUUCCAUUUCCAAUGAGUAUAUUCUUCAAAUUUAAGAGCCCAAUCCUGAGAAUAUCAUGAUGUAAUAUUGAGAAAAUAUAAUAAAAUAGAAGGUGAUAAGAAACUAAGAUUUAUUUUGGCAGACUAGUAUAAUGUCCAUCCAAUAAACAAAUCUUAAAAGAUGCACAUAUCAACAAAGCUUCUUAUACUUACCAUCCAGGGAACCAUCAUCAUUAACAUCAAAACCUAUAAGCUGGAAAGCCUUUAACAUUUUCACCUACCAUCAAAAGUUACAUGUACUCAAAAGUUAAAGAACGAAAUAUUUAUAAAAACAUGCCUAUAGGAAAUCAUACCAGGCAAAGGUAAACAUCAUAAACUUAGUAUUCAAAGUUAUCUGUACAUAGAGAAAGAGAAAACAAUAAAGAAUCGAUAAGGCGACCGACCACACCACAAAGGAUUGAAACAUGGAAGCAAUAACAAUUUAUUUCAUUAAUGGUCAUCAAAUGCUUAAUGUGAGGUAUAAAAAGUAAAAACCACCGCGUUAAUGCUAGUGAAAGGUUUAAACAUGCUUCAAAGUUGUAUUACAAAACUUCUUCCAUCCUCGAGGACAUGGCCAAAAUCUUACAAGCAAAUGAUUCAUGUACAGCGUACUUGGCCUGACCCUAACUAUCCUCUAAACAUUAUCCUCUUUUAGUAUAAGGUCAACAAGUUAACGAUCAAAUCACUAAGAAGUACAUAUACACAAAGAAUUCGAAUAAUAGAAACACAGUUCAAAUAAUUGAACAUGGAUGAUACUCCCAGGUUGUUCAGAAUGGUUCAUUAGAUUCAUGACAGAACACCUUAUUAAUUAUCAAUUAUCAUCUUCAAAGAUGUCCCAAACAUUCCUUCAUCUCACUAAAUAGCAAAGGGCUUAAAACAUACAGAAAUCCACAAUCAAAAAAAGCCAAAAUUUUUAAAAAACAAUAUCUAAGAUGUUUUUUUUUUUAUCUCUUCUUCAAUUCUUUCCGUAUAAGUUUUGGAACAGUAUAAGACUAAAAGUCAAUAGAUAACUAUGACACAAACCCCAAAGAAAAUUACCAUAGUUGAGAUUAAAAAUAUAGAAAUUAAAUGUGGAAUUAUGGGAUAUGAAUACAAACUUUUAGUGUGAGCAUAAUAAAUUUGAAUGACAGAUGUAACUAUUACUGACAAAGCAUCACUCCUAAUCAUGCCUUCAAAUACUUGCAUAAGUCGAAGAAGAUAGGAAAGAAAAGAUAGAACCGAAAAAUCUUGACAGUUAGUUGGAUUAGAAGGAAUGGCAUUCUUAAAGAAAGCAAGAAUGAGAGAGAGGUAGGUCACGAGGAGUUUUGAUUUGCCAAAGUGGACAUGAUAGGUAUCGUUUGGGAAUCCAAGUUUCAGCAGCAGAGGAUUAUCCUAAUAGCUUGGAGGUGAAUAGUAGCUUAGUAGAUCAGCCACUAUCUAGCAAACCACUGUGUAAAAUUAAUUAGGUAGUAACAAAUCAGUAGAUUCGUUAUAACCGGUUUUAGUUCAAGUGAGUGGUUAUGAGUAAAAACAAGGUGGUGUAAUAAAACAUCUAUUGUAGCUGUAUAUCAUUGAUGGAAUGAGAUUGAGAAUAAAGAAAAUAAUAAAAAUGUUCAUUCUCUCUGCUUUAACUCUUGCUUCAAAUCUUGUUUCCCAUGCCAGGUCUAAACACAUUGAAGUAGAUUGUCAUUUUAUCAAAGAGAAAGGGGCUGCUAAGAAAAUUGUUCUAACACAUUCCUACAUCUGAGCAAGUUGCUGAUAUAUUCACCAAACGAUUGUCCACGUACUCCUUUCAUUUUCUUAAAGACAAG